CCGGCCUGCCCUGGCCCAGCCCUCUCGGCCCGGGGAGCGACUGAUGCGGGGAGGAGGCGCCUGGCGCGAACAAAACUCUGCGGCGCUGGAGCGGGGCCGAGCAACAAGUGGCGGCCGCGCGGGCGGGCGGGAAGGGGGAGCCCGGCAGCGCCCCAGCGAGCUGCGCAAGGCGCAUCGGUCCCUGCCGGCGGGAGCGGGUGCAGGCUGCGCCCCGGGAUUGCUGCUGAGCCGUGUGUGGAUUACAACUGGAGCUGCUGCCCAGCCCUGGUGCCCGCGGCGGGGGCCUGAGGGGCAAGUGCACUGGGGACUUUCCCCUCCCGCCCCCCGUUGGGGUGGCUGCUUGGGGCGGGGCUGGCUCUGCCUGAAGGACCCGAGUGCCUGCAGCAUGUAAAAGCCGAAGCUCCGCACCAGCGGGGUCCCCGCCCCGCCGCCUCCGUUCCGCGCCGGGGAGCCAUGGUGUGCGCGGGCAGCGGGGGAGCAUGAAGCCUGCAGGAUGGGCGCGAACAAUGGCAAACAGUACGGCAGUGAGGGCAAAGGCAGCUCAAGCAUCUCAUCCGACGUGAGUUCAAGUACAGAUCACACACCAACCAAAGCCCAGAAGAAUGCGGCUACCAGUGAAGAUUCCGACCUGAGCAUGCGGACACUCAGCACACCCAGCCCAGCGCUAAUAUGUCCGCAGAAUUCUCACAGCUUCCAAAAUGGCCGAGGAUCUUCCACUUCUUCAUCCUCAGUCACCGGGGAGACAGUUGCUAUGGUCCAUUCACCUCCUCCAACCCGCCUUACUCAUCCUCUCAUCCGGCUGGCAUCCAGACAGCAGAAAGAACAGGCCAACAUAGACCGUCUCCCAGACCACUCCAUGAUCCAAAUUUUCUCUUUCCUGCCUACCAACCAGUUGUGCCGUUGUGCACGAGUGUGUCGCCGCUGGUAUAACCUUGCCUGGGACCCACGGCUUUGGAGGACUAUUCGCCUGACAGGCGAAACAAUCAACGUAGACAGGGCUCUUAAAGUGCUGACCCGGAGGCUUUGUCAGGACACGCCAAAUGUAUGUCUCAUGUUGGAGACGGUAAUUGUUAGUGGCUGCAGGCGGCUCACAGACAGAGGACUCUACACCAUUGCCCAGUGCUGUCCAGAGCUGAGGAGGCUAGAGGUGUCGGGCUGUUACAACAUCUCCAAUGAAGCAGUCUUUGAUGUGGUGUCGCUGUGUCCAAACCUUGAGCACCUGGAUGUGUCAGGCUGUUCCAAAGUGACAUGCAUUAGUUUGACCCGCGAAGCCUCCAUCAAGCUGUCCCCAUUACAUGGCAAACAGAUCUCUAUCCGCUACCUGGACAUGACAGACUGUUUUGUGCUUGAGGACGAAGGCCUGCACACCAUCGCCGCACACUGCACUCAGCUGACUCAUCUGUACCUGCGCCGCUGCGUCCGCAUCACCGAUGAAGGCCUCCGUUACCUAAUGAUUUACUGCACAUCCAUCAAGGAGCUGAGCGUGAGCGACUGCCGCUUCGUCAGCGACUUCGGCAUGCGGGAGAUCGCCAAGUUGGAGUCGCGCCUGCGGUACCUCAGCAUCGCACACUGCGGUCGCAUCACAGACGUGGGCAUCCGUUACAUUGCCAAAUACUGCAGCAAGCUGCGCUACCUCAAUGCGCGGGGCUGCGAGGGAAUCACGGACCAUGGCGUGGAGUACCUCGCCAAAAAUUGCACAAAACUCAAAUCAUUGGAUAUUGGCAAGUGCCCGCUGGUCUCAGACACCGGCCUGGAGUUUCUGGCCCUGAACUGCUUCAACUUGAAGCGCCUGAGCCUGAAGUCAUGUGAGAGCAUCACAGGCCAGGGCCUACAGAUCGUAGCUGCGAACUGCUUUGACCUGCAGAUGCUGAACGUGCAGGACUGUGAGGUUUCCGUGGACGCUCUACGUUUUGUUAAACGCCAUUGCAAGCGCUGUAUUAUUGAGCACACCAACCCCGCUUUUUUCUGAAAGGACACUCUGCACCUGUUGAUUAAAAACAUUGAUGUAUAAACACAUGCUCCCACAUACAGUACCUAGAUUUUCUCUGUAUGGCUCGUGGGAGUCAGCUUUCUUGUAUGGUGCUAGUGAGGUUUGUUUUUUAAAAAGAAUAUUUUUUGUUUUAAACUAUCACUUUUUUAUUUGAUUGGGUCUCUGUGGAGAUGCUUCCUUAACCUAAAAGCAGUGAGUACUCCACAGCACCAUGGCAGUGCUAUACCCCUGGUAGCCCUGACGCUUUCCUAGCCUGAACUAGCUCUCCAAAGGGAAUAGCACAUAAUCACUCCCUUUGAGGUGCAACUUGAGCAGCAUUAAAUCUGAGCUCCAGCUGUGCUCAAGAAGCUGCAGAGGCACUAUUUGUCUCGAAACCCACCCCCCAAAUUCCUCCAACAUGGCUGAUGCAACACCACCUUGUCUAAGUAGCAUCUUCUCGGAAGUCCCAUAACCAUGUUCCUUUCAACUGAAGAAAUGGCCGCUGUUGAGCAAAGAAUUGCAGUAUCAGUACUGCCUCAUAUGGUUGAAGACUGUUAGUCUAACAGGUGUUACUGUUAUAGCUGCUCUCUCUUGCCAAUGCAAUCAAUUUUGAGGCUUACCCCUAUUCAUUGUCCCCUUCUUUCCCUGAGCAUGUGAUCAUUUCAUGAUUAGUUGCCAGAAGACUGUAAUGGAAGUUCUUCCCCACUUAUUUCUGGCAAGUCCCAUCCAGUCCUUAGAUCUGAAAGCCAGACUCAUUAGAAGUGAUGAUAUUUUCAGGCAGGCCCCCUGCACAUGAUUGACAACUGAUUCAUAUGUUAGGCUCAAUCACUGUAAAUGUCUCUGCUAGAGAGAUGUGGGGAGGAAAACGCUCUGUCUGGUUUUCAUAGAACAGUAGCUGCAUCGUCUCCAGACAACAUUAAUAAUGUCACUGAGAUGAAAUGAAAAUCCAUGUGUUUUAAGAACAUACAUAAUCACUAAGGAAAUAAUCUGUAGCCACACUCACACAAUGUUUAAAGGCAAAGCUGGCAGGAUGUGUCCUACUUGUGAGAAAAGAUCUUUAGCCUGUGCAUAUUGCUUCUCCGUUUGUCAGUUUGUGUAUUUUUUCACUUGCAAGAUAUUGUGGUUUCAUGGGCAAACUCAUUAAGCAUCCUUCAGUUCCCUCUGAAUUAAAUAAUACUGUCCAAAAGAGACGAGGGGUCGGAGCCAAAAUGAUUGCGGGGAAAAGCUCUUACAGCUGCUCAUUACCACUCUGUCACUAAUCGGUGUAUGUUAGGGAGUGGUGCCAUUUUAUGUCAAUUAACAUCAGUUUAGCUUCCUUUUUUUACAAAGCUGAUUUCUCAGGAGGUUGCACAGUGGAUUUUAUCCCAGCUAGCUAUUCUCUUCACCGUCCUCAAGGAGAGUGAAGCUGUUGAAUCCAUUCUCAAGCACCUAGGAGCUUCAAACAGAAUCACACAACACUCAGCAGUGUGGAAACAUAUAGAGAAAUACAGAUCUGUCUUGACGUGAACAAAUUGUGCCCCAGGCAGCUUGAUACCCUGUGAGCAUAGCAAUGUGCACGCCUUCCAUCCUCUCCACUCCACAGAAAUAGAUGCAUGAUGGGCCAUAGUCAGUUAGACAGUGGCUGUGCUGCUGAAGGCGUCUAUAGGCACCCUAAUGUGAAAGCCUUCGGAGAGUUAUUUUCAUGCUGCUGACAGAUUUUGUGGUAUUCUGCCUGCCUGGACACGGAUGUUGCAUAUGAUUAAUGACU